CUGGGCUCCUCUAUGAUCUUGGAGUUUCCCGCAUUUACAACGUUAGCAUUUCACCAUUCUGGUGGUUGGGGCAUGAGCUUAGGGAAAUCCACUUGGAGUAUUUUAUGGGACAUGCCUGGGGAGAAAAAUACAGAUAAAGGGAGAAAAGGUAUCAAGGGUGUCUCCCAGUUUUCAGAUAUGGUCAGGAAUGGGGUUGGGGAGGAGCUAAAUUGUUCAUGCAGUUGUGGACAUAUGGAGUUUGAGGAAGGACAGCCAGGCAAAUGCCUCCAGUAGGACAUUGAAUACAAGAGUUGCUCUGAAACUCAGCAGAGUCUAGACUGAAAAAAUAGAGUAGGGUAUCAUAUAAUAAUAAUAAGAAGAAGAAGAAUAGCUAGCAUGUAUUGAAUUUGUACCAUUUACUAGGUAUGCUAUGGGGUGGGUUCUGUUAUUAUCUCCAUUUUACAGGAAAGAAAACUGAUGCUUAAGAGGUGGAACAACUUUGCCACAUGUUUGGAAAGUGAGAAAUUCAGAAUUUGAAUCCCACGUGUCUGACUCCAGUUGAAAAGAGUUGAUGAACCUAAGUGAAGGGGAUCAGUGACAGUCCCUUCGGGAAUACUGUUUUUACAGGAUGGGUAGAGGAAGAGGUAAUGACAAAGGAUGUUGAGAAGAGCAGUGAGAAAGGCAGGACAUAUGAUGGAAUCCCAGCCUCAGUGAGGGAGACAAGACUGUGGGAGACAAGAGAGUGGGCCGUGGGAAUCAAAGGAAGAGCAGUUUCAGGAGAAGGAGAGUCAAAGUACACCCUGGGAGGCUAAAUGAGCUAAGGUCAAGAAGGAAAA
rnacentral:lncRNA from 1 species